GCGGGCGGCGCCUCCUUCUCCUCGCCUUUGCGUCGCCUCGUGGAUACCGGAGAAUUCAAAGUCCCAGAGAAUUUCCGUGUUCCUGGAAAGCCAUUGUUGUUUCUCGAGCUUGCGAAUCUGAUGAAUAGAAAAAAGUUCAUGUGGAUUCGGAAUUUCACGGCUCAUUCCGAAUGUGUUGCACCGAGUGAUGGAGGAUGUCCCUUGUCCAAUUCACCAACUAUAAUCUACUUGAACUGGACAUGUUCAUGAAGUGGACUUCGCUGCUGGAGAUAGCACGAUACCAAGCCCUCUGUUAUUGUAAUGGAUGCUUUAAAAUGAAUCAAGCACUGAGUGUUUGUGUUUCUGCUCUUUCAUCAGAUAUCCAUCUGGUAUUGUUGAUUUGUUGUUCUUGCAGAUUCUUAUUUGGACCAGUGUUGUCAAAUGGCGGCCAUGGCCCCGCCAUGGCGGGAUGGCCUGGCGGAUUUCAAGGUAGACGCCAUGGUAUUUGUAUAGCGUGGCGUGUAUGGCGUUUUCGCCAUUGCGUGCGCCACAUGGGGUUUUCCAUUGUGGGUUAUGGCGGCCAUAGCCCCGCCAUGGCGGAAUUGCGUAUUAAAAGGGAAAGUAAAGUCCAGAAAAAAAAAAAGGAAAACACAAAAAUGGGAGAUAUCGAAGCGUCGGUCGAAUAGUUUAAGAUUUUGGAAAUAGAAAAA